rnacentral:rRNA from 1 species
ACGUACACUCCUGCGGGAGGCAGCAGUGGGGAAUAUUGGACAAUGGGCGCAAGCCUGAUCCAGCCAUGCCGCGUGAGUGAUGAAGGCCCUAGGGUUGUAAAGCUCUUUCACCGGUGAAGAUAAUGACGGUAACCGGAGAAGAAGCCCCGGCUAACUUCGUGCCAGCAGCCGCGGUAAUACGAAGGGGGCUAGCGUUGUUCGGAUUUACUGGGCGUAAAGCGCACGUAGGCGGACUAUUAAGUCAGGGGUGAAAUCCCGGGGCUCAACCCCGGAACUGCCUUUGAUACUGGUAGUCUUGAGUUCGAGAGAGGUGAGUUGAAUUCCGAGUGUAGAGGUGAAAUUCGUAGAUAUUCGGAGGAACACCAGUGGCGAAGGCGGCUCACUGGCUCGAUACUGACGCUGAGGUGCGAAAGCGUGGGGAGCAAACAGGAUUAGAAACCCUGGUAGUCCCA